rnacentral:rRNA from 1 species
ACGCUCGACACCUACGGGAGGCAGCAGUCGGGAAUAUUGCGCAAUGGAGGAAACUCUGACGCAGUGACGCCGCGUAUAGGAAGAAGGUUUUCGGAUUGUAAACUAUUGUCGUUAGGGAAGAUACAAGACAGUACCUAAGGAGGAAGCACCGGCUAACUAUGUGCCACAGCCGCGGUAAUCUGAGCGGGCUGGCAAGGC